UACGGAGGAUCCGAGCGUUAUCCGGAUUUAUUGGGUUUAAAGGGUGCUCAGGCGGGGGGUUAAGUCGGCGGUGAAAUUUUGCAGCUCAACUGUAAAAGUGCCUUCGAAACUGGUUCCCUUGAGUGCGGAUGAGGUAGGCGGAAUUUGUGGUGUAGCGGUGAAAUGCAUAGAUAUCACGAGGAACUCCGAUUGCGCAGGCAGCUUACCAAGCCGUAACUGACGCUCAAGCACGAAGGCGUGGGGAUCAAACAGG
rnacentral:rRNA from 1 species